rnacentral:rRNA from 1 species
CACGAACCGUACAAACGUUACUCGGAUUUACUGGGCUUAAAGGGUGCGUAGGCGGCUUGUUAAGUUGGGUGUGAAAGCCCUCGGCUCAACCGAGGAAUUGCGCUCAAAACUGGCGAGCUUGAGGGAGACAGAGGUGAGCGGAACUUAGGGUGGAGCGGUGAAAUGCGUUGAUAUCCUAAGGAACACCAGGGGCGAAAGCGGCUCACUGGGUCUCUUCUGACGCUGAGGCACGAAAGCUGGGGGAGCGAAGAGGAUUAGAUACCCUCGUAGUCCCAGCCGUAAACGAUGAGCACUAGAUCGGAGGGUCCUCCAUAGCCUUCUGGUCGUAGCGAAAGUGUUAAGUGCUCCGCCUGGGGAGUAUGGUCGCAAGGCUGAA